CGGACGGGUGAGUAACGCGUGGAAAACCUGCCGUAUACUGGGGGAUAACACUUAGAAAUAGGUGCUAAUACCGCAUAAGCGCACAGCUUCGCAUGAAGCGGUGUGAAAAACUCUGGUGGUAUACGAUGGUUCCGCGUCUGAUUAGCUAGUUGGUGGGGUAAUGGCCUACCAAGGCAACGAUCAGUAGCCGGCCUGAGAGGGUGAACGGCCACAUUGGGACUGAGACACGGCCCGAACUCCUACGGGAGGCAGCAG
rnacentral:rRNA from 1 species